rnacentral:rRNA from 1 species
GAUGAACGCUAGCGGCAGGCUUAACACAUGCAAGUCGAGGGGUAGAAGGAGCUUGCUCCUUUGAGACCGGCGCACGGGUGCGUAACGCGUAUGCAAUCUACCUUUUGCAGAGGGAUAGCCCAGAGAAAUUUGGAUUAAUACCUCAUAGUAUGUGAGGAUGGCAUCAUUUUCACAUUAAAGUCACAACGGCAAAAGAUGAGCAUGCGUCCCAUUAGCUAGUUGGUAAGGUAACGGCUUACCAAGGCUACGAUGGGUAGGGGUCCUGAGAGGGAGAUCCCCCCACACUGGUACUGAGACACGGACCAGACUCCUACGGGAGGCAGCAGUGAGGAAUAUUGGACAAUGGGCGCAAGCCUGAUCCAGCCAUGCCGCGUGCAGGAUGACGGUCCUAUGGAUUGUAAACUGCUUUGUACAGGAAGAACACUACUUCGUGAAGUAGCUUGACGGUACUGUAAGAAUAAGGAUCGGCUAACUCC